AAACAUGCCACACAAAAGCCAAAGUAAGCUACACAUUUUACAUGUGGCUUCCAUAUACAUAAUACGAAGAUCAACUGAUAAAUGAUGACAUACAUUGGAAGCAUGACUUCAUGCCUUUUGUUAUUUCUGUUGAUUAUGUGUGGUUCAGUUUGCCAUGGUGGGAAGUUGCUGGUCUUUCCCGGGGAGGGAAGUCACUGGGUUAAGAUGGACAUUCUGAUCAAGGCUCUUCGCUCUCAGGGACACACCAUCACAGUGGUACGAACGACAAAAAGUUGGUACAUCAAAGAAGAAUAGCCCUACUACAGUUCUAUUACAAUACCUGUCACUGAUGCUAUGGAUGAGGAAUUUGUAAAGCCAAUCAUAAAGAAAGUAAUUGAUAUAGAGAGAGGAACAACCUCUGUAUUAAACUUUAUACAUUUGCAAAUGGUGCAUUAAAACUAAAAGCAGAUUUACCUAGCUUUGGAGACCCUAGGAACCUCAACAGUAAACCAAUCCUGUGAACGGGUUAGGCAACUCAGGUGUGUGUACUUCAACAGCAAAGUUAGAUAAGACGGAAGUUUAUGAAGUAGGGCCUUGUAAACAGAGUAAUGUAGAGAUCUACGGGUCUUAAGUUAUGUUCAGCCAACCUUUUGAUACAGGAUACUGGCACAUUACCCAAAAAGUUACAUAUUGCAGCUCGAUUUUUCACGCUCAACAGUUUGUAUCAAGAAUACCCUUCCCCAGAUCUGUGCCGCGACACAAUCCUGUCUCUGCGCUUUACAGACAAUUCCUUCGACCUCAUGGCUUGGUUUUUGCUCUGACAUGCACUGUCAACUGUGGGACCUUAUACAGGCAGGUGUGUGCCUUUCCAAAUCAUGUACUAUCAAUUGAGUUUACCACAGGUUGACUCCAAUUAACUUGUAGAAACAACUCACUCAAGGAGGAUGAAUGGAAAUAGGAUGCACCUGAGCUCAAUUUCGGGUCUCACAGCAAAGGGUAUGAAUACUUAUGUGAAUGAGGUAUUUCUGUUUUUUAUUGUUAAUAAAUUAGCAAAUAUUUCUAAAAGCCUGUUUCACUUUGUUAUUAUGGGGUAUGUUGUGUAGAUCGCUGAGGACAUGUUUUUAUUUAAUACAUUUUAGAAUAAGGCUGUAAUGUAACGUGGAUGUAAUGUGGAAAAAGUCAAGGGGUGUGAAUACUUUCAGAAGGCGCUGUAUACAGUGCCUUGUAAAAGUUUUCAUACCCCUUGGAUUUCUUCACAUUUUAUUGUGUUACAAAGCGGGAAUGAAAUUGAUUUAAUUGUCAUUUUUGGUCAACAAUCUACACAAAAUACUCUGUAAUGUGAGUGGAAGAAAAAAUCUUACAUUUUUUCAAAAUGAAUAAAAAUGUAAUAACUAAAAUAUAGUUGUUGCAUAAGUAUUCAGCUCCCGGAGUUAAUACAUGUUAGAAACACCUUAGGUACUGAUUACAGCUCUGAGUCUUUUGGGUAAGUCUCUAAGAGCUUUGCACACCUGGAUUGUGCAAUAUUUAUUAUUUUCAAAAUUCUUCAAGCUCUUAAAAGAUAUUGGGCAUUUUCAAAACUUGCCAUAGAUUUUCAAGCAGAUUUAAGCCAAGACUGUAACUUGGCCAUUCAGGAACAUUCACUGUCUUCUUGAUAAGCAAUUCCAGUGUAGAUUUGGCCUUGUGUUGUCCUGCUGAAAGGUGAAUUCCUCUCCCACUCUCCGGUGUAAAGCAAACUGAAGCACGUUUCCUCUGGGAUUUUGCGUGUGCUUAGCUCCAUCAUGUUUCUUUUAUACUGAAAAACUCCCCAGUAUUUGCUGACUUCAAGUACAGUAUACCCAUACUAUGGUGCAGCCACCACCAUGUUUGAAAAUAAGGAGGCAAUUACUUUGUUGUGUUGGAUUUGCCCCAAACACUAUGCUAUGCAUUUAGGCCAAAAAGUGUAUGCAUUUGCUGUGUUUUUUUGCAGUAUUACUUUAGUGCCUUGCUGUAUACAAGAUGCAUGUUUUAGAACUUUUUUAUAUUCUGUAUAUUUGUAUUCUUUCUUCCACUCUGUCAUUUAGGUCAUUAUUGUGAGUCACUACAAUGUUGUUGCUCCAUCCUCAGUUCUCCCAUCACAGCCAUUGAACUGUGUAGCUGUUUUAAAAUCACCAAUGGUAACACCAUGGUAACAUCCCUGAGCAGUUUCAUUCCUGUCCUGCAGCUCAGUUCGGAAGGAUGACUGUAUCUUUGAUGUGUCUGGAUGUUUUAAUACAUCAUCCACGGCAUAAUUAUUAACUUGACCAUGCUUCAAGAGAUAUUCUAUCUCUGAUUUGUUAUUGUUACCCAUCUACCAAUCACUGUCGUUCUUUAUGAGGCUUUCGAAAAGCUCCCUAGUCUUUGUAGUUGAAUAUGUGCUUGAAAUGUAAUACUUGACUGAGGGACCUUACAGGUGUUGUAUGUAUGGGGACAGAGGAAGGGUCAUUCAAAAAUCAUGUCAACCCCUAUGGUUCACACAGAGUGAUUCCAUGUAACUUAUUAUGUGAUUUGUUAAGACACAUUUUACUGAACUAAUUUAUGCAACGACUACAUUUUAGUUAUGCUUUUUUAAAUAAUUAUUUAUUUCUAUUCCACUUUGACAUUACAUUGUAUUUUGUGUAGAUUGCUGACAAAAAAUAACGUUUACAUAAAUUUUAUCCCACUUUAACACAGUAAAAUGUGAAGAAAUCCAA